rnacentral:rRNA from 1 species
AUUGAACGCUGGCGGCAGGCCUAACACAUGCAAGUCGAGCGGGGUUUUCGGACCUAGCGGCGGACGGGUGAGUAAUGCGUAGGAAGCUACCCGAUAGAGGGGGAUACCAGUUGGAAACGACUGUUAAUACCGCAUAAUGUCUACGGACCAAAGUGUGGGACCUUCGGGCCACAUGCUAUCGGAUGCGCCGACGUGGGAUUAGCUAGUUGGUGAGGUAAUGGCUCACCAAGGCGACGAGCCCUAGCUGGUUUGAGAGGAUGAUCAGCCACACUGGAACUGAGACACGGGCCAGACGCCUGCGGGAGGCAGCAGUGGGGAAUAUUGGACAAUGGGCGCAAGCCUGAUCCAGCCAUGCCGCGUGUGUGAAGAAGGCCUUCGGGUUGUAAAGCACUUUCAGUAGGGAGGAAGCGUUGUGUGUUAAUAGUACACAGCGUUGACGUUACCUACAGAAGAAGCACCGGCUAACUCUGUGCCAGCAGCCGCCGUAAAAC